rnacentral:rRNA from 1 species
UUUUUGCAUAUCCCACAAGCGGAGGAAAAGAAACCAACAGGGAUUGCCUCAGUAACGGCGAGUGAAGCGGCAACAGCUCAAAUUUGAAAUCUGGCCUCUUGGGGUCCGAGUUGUAAUUUGUAGAGGAUGUUUCGGGUACCGCCUCGGUUUAAAUUUCUUGGAACAGAAUGUCAAAGAGGGUGAGAAUCCCGUCUUGGACCGGCGGUAGGGCCUAUGUGAAACUCCUUCGACGAGUCGAGUUGUUUGGGAAUGCAGCUCAAAAUGGGUGGUAAAUUUCAUCUAAAGCUAAAUAUUGGCCAGAGACCGAUAGCGCACAAGUAGAGUGAUCGAAAGAUGAAAAGCACUUUGAAAAGAGAGUUAAACAGUAUGUGAAAUUGUUGAAAGGGAAGCGCUUGCAACCAGACUUGAGCGCGGCGGUUCCCCCUUGCUUCUGCUUGGGUUACUCCGCCGUGUCCAGGCCAACAUCGGUUCUGGGGGUCGGUCAAAGGCUCUGGGAAUGUAUCUACCCACGGGUAGACUUAUAGACCAGGGUGUCAUGCGACCUCCCGGGACCGAGGAACGCGCUUCGGCUCGGAUGUUGGCGUAAUGGUUGUCAGCGACCCGUCUUGAAACACGGACCAAA